GAAUCAGUACGCUGGUCGUGCCUUCGGUAUGUACUGGGGUCACUGAUUCCUCCCUUCUGACGAACCAUCAUGCUAUUAAUUUAGUGUGGCGGGGAAUCAGGACUGUUACUUUGAAAAAAUUAGAGUGUUCAAAGCAGGCCUAUGCCCGAAUACAUUAGCAUGGAAUAAUAGAAUAGGACGUGCGGUUCUAUUUUGUUGGUUUCUAGAGUCGCCGUA
rnacentral:rRNA from 1 species